AUUGAACGCUGGCGGCAGGCCUAACACAUGCAAGUCGAACGAGUGGCGGCGGGGUGGUAAUGUCUUGGACACUGCCCGCUUGAGGGGGAUAACUACUGGAAACGGUAGCUAAUACCGCAUACCAUCGGAUGUGCCCAGAUGGGAUUAGCUAGUGGGUGGGGUAACGGCUAACCUAGGCGACGAUCCCUAGCUGGUCUGAGAGGAUGACCAGCAACACGGGAACUGAGACAGGGUCCAGACCCCUCCGGGAGGCAGCAGUGGGGAAUAUUGCACAAGGGGCGCAAGCCUGAUGCAGCCAUGCGGCGUGUAGGAAGAAGGCCUUCGGGUUGUAAAGUACUUUCAGCGAGGAGGCGUUACUCGCAGAAGAAGCACCGGCUAACUCCGUGCCAGCAGCCGCGGUAAUAC
rnacentral:rRNA from 1 species